CGCUGGCGGCGUGCCUAAUACAUGCAAGUCGAGCGAACGGACGAGAAGCUUGCUUCUCUGAUGUUAGCGGCGGACGGGUGAGUAACACGUGGAUAACCUACCUAUAAGACUGGGAUAACUUCGGGAAACCGGAGCUAAUACCGGAUAAUACUUUAAACCGCAUGGUUCAAAAGUGAAAGACGGUCUUGCUGUCACUUAUAGAUGGAUCCGCGCUGCAUUAGCUAGUUGGUAAGGUAACGGCUUACCAAGGCAACGAUGCAUAGCCGACCUGAGAGGGUGAUCGGCCACACUGGAACUGAGACACGGUCCAGACUCCUACGGGAGGCAGCAGUAGGGAAUCUUCCGCAAUGGGCGAAAGCCUGACGGGGCAACGCCGCGUGAGUGAUGAAGGUCUUCGGAUCGUAAAACUCUGUUAUUAGGGAAGAACAUAUGUGUAAGUAACUGUGCACAUCUUGACGGUACCUAAUCAGAAAGCCACGGCUAACUACGUGCCAGCAGCCGCGGUAAUACGUAGGUGGCAAGCGUUAUCCGGAAUUAUUGGGCGUAAAGCGCGCGUAGGCGGUUUUUUAAGUCUGAUGUGAAAGCCCACGGCUCAACCGUGGAGGGUCAUUGGAAACUGGAAAACUUGAGUGCAGAAGAGGAAAGUGGAAUUCCAUGUGUAGCGGUGAAAUGCGCAGAGAUAUGGAGGAACACCAGUGGCGAAGGCGACUUUCUGGUCUGUAACUGACGCUGAUGUGCGAAAGCGUGGGGAUC
rnacentral:rRNA from 1 species